GACGAACGCUGGCGGCGUGCUUAACACAUGCAAGUCGAACGGAAAGGCCCUGCUUUUGUGGGUUGCUCGAGUGGCGAACGGGUGAGUAACACGUGAGUAACCUGCCCUUGACUUUGGGAUAACUUCAGGAAACUGGGGCUCAUACCGGAUAUGAGCUCCUGCUGCAUGGUGGGGGUUGGAAAGUUUCGGCGGUUGGGGAUGGACUCGCGGCUUAUCAGCUUGUUGGUGGGGUAGUGGCUUACCAAGGGUUUGACGGGUAGCCGGCCUGAGAGGGUGACCGGGCACAUGGGGACUGAGAGACGGCGCAGACUCCUACGGGAGGCAGCAGGGGGGAAUAUUGCAGAAUGGGCGGAAGCCUGAGGCAGAAACGCCGCGUGCGGGAUGACGGCCUUCGGGUUGUAAACCGAUUUCGCCGGUGACGAAGCGGGAGUGACGGUAAUGGGUAAAGAAGCACCGGCUAACUACGUG
rnacentral:rRNA from 1 species